UACGGAGGGUGCGAGCGUUGUCCGGAAUCACUGGGCGUAAAGGGCGCGUAGGCGGCUCAUGAAGGCUGUGGUGAAAGUCCGGGGCUCAACCUCGGAUCGGCCGUGGCGACUCGUGGGCUGGAGCACUGUAGAGGCGGGUGGAAUUCCGGGUGUAGCGGUGGAAUGCGUAGAGAUCCGGAAGAACACCAGUGGCGAAGGCGGCCCGCUGGCAGUGGCUGACGCUGAAGCGCGACAGCGUGGGGAGCAAACGAGGACUUAGAAACCCCCAGAGUCA
rnacentral:rRNA from 1 species